UAUGUAGGCGGUUCGGAAAGUCAGAUGUGAAAGCCCGGGGCUCAACCCCGGAACUGCAUCAGAUACUCCCGAACUAGAGUAAUGGAGGGGUAGCUGGAAUUCUCGGUGUAGCAGUGAAAUGCGUAGAUAUCGAGAGGAACACUCGUGGCGAAGGCGAGCUACUGGACAUUUACUGACGCUGAGAUACGAAGGCCAGGGUAGCGAAAG
rnacentral:rRNA from 1 species